UACGUAGGUGGCAAGCGUUGUCCGGAAUUAUUGGGCGUAAAGCGCGCGCAGGCGGUCGUUCAAGUCGAGUGUGAAAGCCCCCGGCUCAACUGGGGAGGGUCACUCGAUACUGAUCGACUUGAGUGCAGAAGAGGAAAGUGGAAUUCCAAGUGUAGCGGUGAAAUGCGUAGAGAUUUGGAGGAACACCAGUGGCGAAGGCGACUUUCUGGUCUGUAACUGACACUGAGGCGCGAAAGCGUGGGGAGCAAACAGG
rnacentral:rRNA from 1 species